UCCUUUGUUGCCAGCGAUUAGGUCGGGAACUCAAAGGAGACUGCCAGUGAUAAACUGGAGGAAGGUGGGGAUGACGUCAAGUCAUCAUGGCCCUUACGACCAGGGCUACACACGUGCUACAAUGGCGCAUACAAAGAGAAGCGACCUCGCGAGAGCAAGCGGACCUCAUAAAGUGCGUCGUAGUCCGGAUUGGAGUCUGCAACUCGACUCCAUGAAGUCGGAAUCGCUAGUAAUCGUGGAUCAGAAUGCCACGGUGAAUACGUUCCCGGGCCUUGUACACACCGCCCGUCACACCAUGGGAGUGGGUUGCAAAAGAAGUAGGUAGCUUAACCUUCGGGAGGGCGCUUACCACUUUGUGAUUCAUGACUGGGGUGAAGUCGUAACAAGGUAACCGUAGGGGAACCUGCGGUUGGA
rnacentral:rRNA from 4 species